UUGGCUUUUACAGUUUGUCUUCGAGUAUCUUAUACUUGGAAAAUCACAUGUGCGGCAUUCAUUACAAACAGUGGAAGAUUUUCGCCGAACCCCAAGGGUUGGGGACGCUGAGGUCCAACAGCACAGAGAGCGCUGUGAAAAUUCCACCCUUCAGAAACAGCAACGUAGCAAGGAAAGAACCACUUGCCUUGUUGCUAGGGUGUCAACCCUACCCUAGUAACCGUAACCAUGGUAACGUUCUGCAGCAGCAGAGCUGUGAGGAGGGGGAAAGAAAACCAAACUAUUUAAAACUAAGUUCUCCUACAAGGGGUGGAGGAAAGGAGUUUUCUAUUCAAAAGUUGUAUUUGCAACUCCUCAACAUUUUUUGCCUUAAGUUUUCGGACGUAAAAACAAUUGUUGUCACUGUGUAUUUUCAAAAUUUAAUAUAAGAGUGUGCUUGAGGUAAAUCGAAGUAUUCAUAGUCUACAUUACUUUCUUAUUGUAUUGUGCAGUCUGUUGUUUGUAUUUCUAGAACGUUGUGAAACUUCCAGGUAUUCAGUGGGAAAAGAACUCACAUCUUUUUUUUUCUAAAUUAAAGAUAUUGAAGCAUUCUCCUACCUUUGUUUCCCUACCUUGAGUUAAACACAGAUGUUCCUUGAGCAGAACUCUGACUUGCGGUUCUGAUAUAUUUGUGCAAUGAAGGGGGGGGGGACUUGCCUUGUAGCUUGGGGGGUCAAUAUACCCCUCGUUUCUAAUCAACAGGCAUUUUUCUCAACCCACACUGCAUUAAUCUAGUUACACAGUCACUACAACACAGUGGAAGAUUUUCGCCGAACCCCAAGGGUUGGGGACGCUGAGGUCCAACAGCACAGAGAGCGCUGUGAAAAUUCCACCCUUCAGAAACAGCAACGUAGCAAGGAAAGAACCACUUGCCUUGUUGUGAGGGUGAUUUUUUUUCCGCUACAGGGCUUGAAGAUCAGUUUAUUUUUGUUUUGUAAUGAUGAUGGGGUAAAUACAGUAAGAAUUUCUGAAAAACGCAGCCAGGAAUUUCUUUGAAGACAGAGCAACAUGUUAUCACAAUAGUGCAUGAAACCACUCUGCUUCAAGCCCUGUAUUAGGAAAUAAAGUAUCUUUAAGUUAGUAACUAUGUUCUUAUUUCAAUAUCACCCUUCCAUGACAAUGUCAUAUUGUUAAAUUUGGAGGUGACUACUUUAUUCACUGCUCUAAAUUUAAUGUAAGUUCUGAUACACAUCUAGAUAGCAGAAACCCCCAAUAAAACAAAUUGAAUGCACAACCAACUCGAGACAAGUUUUUCACACCAACCUCACAUUCAAGAAGAAAUGCAUCUUCCAGCACUGUUUCCUUGUGUCAGAUUUUUAUUAAGUACAAUACAAGACAAGACGAGACAAAGGAUUGGCUGAAAAGUGAAACGAAAGAACAAUGCAUCGAAUAAUGUCAACCUCCUACCGUACAUUCUGCACAAUUCAAUCCUACAACUUCAUGAACUUAUUAUAAGUGUUACAGGUAAAAGUAAUGACAAAAUGAUCACAUCAUGCUUGGAACUUUCUUAAUUAGGGGGUUAACCUUUUCCCUACAACUAUAGUUCUGACAAUUUUGUUUUCAGUUACAAUGAAACUAUGUUCAUGCUAGACUUGUUUUCAGGUUAUAAGGGUAGCCAAAAUAUACUUUUCCAUGUAUUUGACUUAGCAAGGGGCCAUUCCAUUUAGAAAUUUCCAGGGUGGGGUGUGUCUUUUUAAAACCAUUUUCUUUGAAACUUCUUUUUACAGUUUUUCUUCGUAUCUUUUUAACAA